rnacentral:rRNA from 1 species
UACGUAGGGAGCAAGCGUUGUCCGGAAUCAUUGGGCGUAAAGCGCGCGUAGGUGGCCAUGUAGGUCCGCUGUGAAAGUCAAAGGCUCAACCUUUGAAAGCCGGUGGAUACUGCAUGGCUAGAGUACGGAAGAGGCGAGUGGAAUUCCUGGUGUAGCGGUGGAAUGCGCAGAUAUCAGGAGGAACACCAAUAGCGAAGGCAGCUCGCUGGGACGUUACUGACACUGAGGCGCGAAAGCGUGGGGAGCGAACAGG